rnacentral:rRNA from 1 species
GAUGAACGCUGGCGGCGUGCUUAACACAUGCAAGUCGAACGGGAAUUAUUUUAUUGAAACUUCGGUCGAUUUAAUUUAAUUCUAGUGGCGGACGGGUGAGUAACGCGUGGGUAACCUGCCUUAUACAGGGGGAUAACAGUCAGAAAUGGCUGCUAAUACCGCAUAAGCGCACAGAGCUGCAUGGCCCAGUGUGAAAAACUCCGGUGGUAUAAGAUGGACCCGCGUUGGAUUAGCUGGUUGGGGGGGUAACGGCCCACCAAGGCGACGAUCCAUAGCCGGCCUGAGAGGGUGAACGGCCACAUUGGGACUGAGACACGGCCCAGACUCCUACGGGAGGCAGCAGUGGGGAAUAUUGCACAAUGGGGGAAACCCUGAUGCAGCGACGCCGCGUGAAGGAAGAAGUAUCUCGGUAUGUAAACUUCUAUCAGCAGGGAAGAUAGUGACGGUACCUGACUAAGAAGCCCCGGCUAACUACGUG